UACGAAGGGAGCUAGCGUUGUUCGGAAUCACUGGGCGUAAAGCGCACGUAGGCGGAUUUGCCAGUCAGGGGUGAAAUCCCGGGGCUCAACCUCGGAACUGCCUUUGAUACUGCAAGUCUCGAGUCCGAUAGAGGUGGGUGGAAUUCCUAGUGUAGAGGUGAAAUUCGUAGAUAUUAGGAAGAACACCGGUGGCGAAGGCGGCCCACUGGAUCGGUACUGACGCUGAGGUGCGAAAGCGUGGGGAGCAAACAGG
rnacentral:rRNA from 1 species